CUUUCUAAUACACUUCAUGGUUCAGUUUGUAGUUCUACACAAGAGGAUUCGAGUAGGAAGUGAUAUAAAUCAUUGUUUUAUGCCUUCAGUCACGACAAUUGGGUUACUUUCCAAAGUUGGUUACAAAUCAGGUUGUUUAGAAUUUUAGCUCCCGAAUGAAGUCAUAUACUCCGCUGAAACAUCUCGGUUAACUGAAUCAUGCACUUUCUAUUUGUGGAUGUCAAGACUUUGAUACGGUGCUUUAAUGCCAAUGGAGGACCCAGAGACUCCCCCUCCCGACAACUACUUGGGAACCUAAGAGAGUAGCAAUGCAAACAACCUUGGUGAAAAAUUUCUCACCUCGAGGGCCUCAACGAAAUACUGUUGUGCGUGUCUCGCGGAUCUGGGAAAACAAGGAUCAAGCACAAAAAUGGGUAUGAGUUGGGAUUCAUUGUCAUUGACCAACCGGUACUUCCCGGACGUUCACACACUUGAAUACUUGAUCCAGCUCACCUACAAAAGAAUCCAUGCAGUUAGUUUGAUCUACUCACUAAUCAGCUAUCGAUGUUUACUCUGGUUUUUCUGCAAUGUACGCAACCAGAUUUACCUUUUAGUGUAUUCAUCGUCAUUUGCUAACUGAAUAUCAGAAUCUUGAUUCGGCUAUUAUCAUAUGCACCCAACCAGCUUUACUCUUCAAUGUUCGUGUGGAAGCAUAAAUCUUAAACUUGCCAGGUGAUUGUCUAGCUUACCUGUAAUUGCAGACUUCGCAUUUCGUCAUAGCAGAGCAAGCGUUUUACGGCCUAUUUUCAUUGCAGACUGUAGUUGCAGGACGAGGCCAGAACAAUUGCACCAUUUCUCGCUAACUGAACAUUUUCUUUCUUGGUUGGACCAUUAUCACCUGUGCAUAAAAUGCAUGCAAUCGGCUCAACCUGUAUGCUCCAUUUUUGGGUUUUUAGCAACAUGAUGCGGCCAGCAGUAAGUUGUAGCUUAUAGUGACGCUAAUUAUUAUAAGAGCUAUUAGUUGUUUACCACAUUUAUCCUAGACUGAAUGAUGCCACAUGGUCUACAUGGAACAAGAAGCCUAUGGAUCAAGAUUAGAUUGAUAUUACUUGGCCAUGACUUGAUAAAAGUUUGGGGGCCAGGGGAGUUGCUAGAGCUCUACAUAAACUAUAUUCAAUUCCUGCAUCCUCAUCAUACCUACAGUAAACAAAUGAGGUGCUCCAUGAUUAGAGUUUGAGAAAAAUAGUUAAAUGUUGUGCCCAACCAGGCUAGCUUAUUUGAUUACAACCAGUCCAUCAGGUUUAGCAUCAUCACGUGUUUUUUGGCUGCUAUUCUUAUGUGGCUCAGUAGCUACAAGAUGUUGAAAAAAUGUCUAAUGAUUUCACAGUUAACUGAAAGACUAGAUACUGCUUCUUGCAUUGCUAUUUGACUAAGAUGAUAACCAUCAACCCAAGAGUUAUACGUUCUAGAACGUACCUGGACAGGACGAAAUCAGAUAUCUUCGGUAUUGUAGUGCUGCCAAGACAAGAGAGUAAGAUAUUCUGCAACAUUCAACGCUUCCAUCAGUUCAGAACAUUAUGGUUAGUUUCCAAACAUCACACACAAAUACAUUAAGAAGUGAUUUCAGUCCCUGGACCUCAGGUUUCAAGUCCAGGUGGAUGACAUGGGCUAAUAUAUGUAGAGUUCAUGUUGUGAUGGUUGUGAAGGACGUGGGUAGUAGAUAAUAUGAUCAUGGACAAUCCAUUUAAGAUUUCUCCGAAAACAGAGGCUGGUUAUUUGAACAACAUCGCGGAAACAAGACUAUGCUCAGGGAAUUAACCUGUGAUAUCUAUAGAUGUGAACUGAAAGUAUUUGAUGCUUAGGUUAGAUACAGCAGUUGAUGCAGUCAUGGAUAGAGCGAAUUACAUAAGAUGGAGAUGCUACUAUGUUAUAUAUUUGUUCUUUUGCCAGCCGAUACUACUUUGUGGCACAUUCAGGCUCCUUCGGUUCAGAGGAAGAAAAACAUAGGAAUAAAUAACUACACAUGAAUGAAGUUGAAGGUUAAUAGAAAAUCUAUGCCAUGUUCAAUUUGCAGGAAACGACACCCUUGAGUACGAUGGAGGGAUUCAUGUUCUUACUUAUGAUUAUAUUUUUUUGUUCUUCUAAAAAGUGAUGACCUCUCGCAACUCUUUAUGCAGUUGGAUUGUUUAUUCGGCUGGACCACCUAGAGCAAGUGUUUAGCCUUGGGCCUCUGUGAGAACAUGAGUUUCUACUGGAUUUUUGAAUUCUUAUAAAAAUUACAGGUUUGGAUGA